rnacentral:rRNA from 1 species
ACACUCCUGCGGGAGGCAGCAGUGGGGAAUUUUGGACAAUGGGCGAAAGCCUGAUCCAGCAAUGCCGCGUGCAGGAUGAAGGCCUUCGGGUUGUAAACUGCUUUUGUACGGAACGAAAAAGCUCCUUCUAAUACAGGGGGCCCAUGACGGUACCGUAAGAAUAAGCACCGGCUAACUACGUGCCAGCAGCCGCGGUAAUACGUAGGGUGCGAGCGUUAAUCGGAAUUACUGGGCGUAAAGCGUGCGCAGGCGGUUAUGUAAGACAGAUGUGAAAUCCCCGGGCUCAACCUGGGAACUGCAUUUGUGACUGCAUGGCUAGAGUACGGUAGAGGGGGAUGGAAUUCCGCGUGUAGCAGUGAAAUGCGUAGAUAUGCGGAGGAACACCGAUGGCGAAGGCAAUCCCCUGGACCUGUACUGACGCUCAUGCACGAAAGCGUGGGGAGCAAACAGGAUUAGAUACCCUGGUAGUCCCAUGA